rnacentral:lncRNA from 1 species
CAGCGUCAAAUUGCUAACUAAAAUUCUUGCAAAUAGGCUUCAGAAGGUUAUAACUAAACUUAUUCAUGUAAAUCAAUAUGGAUUCAUCAAGGACAGGUCAAUACAAGAUUGUCUAGCGUGGUCUUUCGAAUACUUGCACCUCUGUAAAUCAUCAAAGAAGGAAAUGGUCAUCCUGAAAAUGGAUUUUGAAAAAACUUUUGAUAAAAUAGAACAUGAUGUGAUCUACAAAAUUUUGCAACACAAAAGUUUCGGUCCCAAAUGGCUCAAGUGGAUGGAAAUGAUUAUGAAAUCUGGCACAUCUGCAAUGCUCCUCAAUGGAGUACCUGGUAAAUUCUUUAAGUGCAAAAGAGGAGUACGGCAAGGAGACCCUCUCUCCCCCCUCCUUUUUGUGUUGGCAGCAGAUCUUCUUAGUCAAUAAUCAACAAAGCCAAAGAUAUGGGCAUACUCAAUCUCCCAAUUCAACAAAGAUGUGGUCAAAAUUUUCCCAUAAUUCAAUAUGCAGAUGAUACCAUUCUGGUUUUGGAGGCAUGCCAGAAACAACUCUUCUUCUUGAAAGCAAUCCUGAACACAUAUGCAUAAUCCAUUGGGUUGUGUGUUAAUUACAACAAGUCCAAUAUUUACCCUAUCAAUGUAUCAGCUGAAAAAAUGCAGAUUCUAGCCAAUACCUUUCAGUUUCAAGUUGGGAUUCUUCCUUUCACAUAUUUAGGGUUGCCCAUGGGACAUAAUAGACCAUCUAUGAAAAACUUUCUACCCCUCGUACAGAAAAUUGAAAAAAUAUUGUCAGCCACAUCUUUAUUUCUAUCACAAGCAGGCAGACUGCAGGUGGUCAAUGCGGUUUUAUCUUCACUGCCAACAUACUUCAUGUGUACACUUAGAAUCCCAAAAUCUGUCAUCAAGUAAAUUGACAAGUACAGAAAACAUUGCUUAUGAAGAGGGGCAAACAUCCACGCAAGAAAGCCUCCAUAGGUAGCAUGGUCCCUGGCAUGUCGACAAAAAGUUCAAGGGGGGCUAGGCAUCCUCAACCUAUCCAUACACAACGAAAGUUUAAUGAUGAAGAACUUACACAAGUUUUUUAAUCGAUUGGACAUACCUUGGGUAAACCUUGUAUGGAAUAAUCACUAUAGAGCAGGAAAGAUUCCCUCUGAAAACAAGAUUGGAUCCUUUUGCUGGAAAGACAUCCUGAAUAACCUAAGCUCUUUUAGAUGAUUUUCAAAGGUCAACAUGCAAGAUGGUCGUACUGUCCGGCUGUGGUGUGAUGAAUGGAAUAAUACAACCCUCUUCACGAAAUACCCAAAGCUUUUCUCUUAUGCUGCAAACAAAAACAUCACAGUUUUGCAGGCGAGGGAGAUUGGACAACCUCAGAACAUGUUCCACCUCCCCAUGUCGGUUCAAGCUUUCAAUCAAUUGCAGCUUCUCUUGAUAACAAUGCAAGCUCAACCGCUAUCGGAAGAACAUGACAGAUGGACAUAUAAAUGGGACUCUCCCGGGUUCUUGUCUCAGAAAGCAUACAAACAUAUAACAAAAGCACCACCAGCACCACUGACAUUCACCUUGCUGUGG